rnacentral:lncRNA from 1 species
AGUUGGUCCACUAUAGGAGUAGGGUGCAUAUCAAGAUAGAAUCUAUCGAUCUUGAUAGAAAGGAGUAGUCUUAUGGGAUUUGAGAAGCUAAGUCCGAGAGUCUGUGGCCACUGUAGUGUGAUUAUUGGAAAAGAGUUUCCAUAAGGAUCACAAUUGGACUUGAGCUGAUCGAAUCUAUCAUAUGACUAAUGAUGAGGUUUGAUGAUUUAUUCAUGACCUGCCAUCU